rnacentral:tRNA from 1 species
ACUUGGAUAGCUUAUAAUUAGAGUUUAACAUUGAAGAUGUUAAGGAGGACAAUGGACCUUUAAGUA